CUUAAAAACGCACCAAAUCCUCCAGGAAUACUUGGCUCUAAAGCUGUUGGUGAGCCUCCAUUGCUAAUGAGCAGUGGUGUGUUGUUUGCUCUCAAAAGAGCUGUAGAGAGUGCUAGACAUGAUGCUGGUAAUAGCGAUCCUUUUAUUUUAAAUGCUCCAGCUACUGUAGAAGCAACACAGCAAGCUUGUCUUGUUGAUCCAUUGAGAUUUGAAUUUUAACAUGAUAACAUUGUUUUUAUUAAACCAGCAUUGUGUCACGUGUUUGCAGUAUACUAAUUUAUUCUUAUUAUCCGUAUCUUGGACUAUUUUAAUUUUUAA